GUAGGGUGCAAGCGUUAAUCGGAAUUACUGGGCGUAAAGCGUGCGCAGGCGGGUUUGUAAGUCUGUCGUGAAAGCCCCGGGGCUUAACCUGGGAAUUGCGAUGGAGACUGCAAGGCUUGAAUCUGGCAGAGGGGGGUAGAAUUCCACGUGUAGCAGUGAAAUGCGUAGAGAUGUGGAGGAACACCGAUGGCGAAGGCAGCCCCCUGGGUCAAGAUUGACGCUCAUGCACGAAAGCGUGGGGAGCAAACAGGAUUAGAUACCCUGGUAGUCCACGCCCUAAACGAUGUCUACUAGUUGUCGGGUCUUAAUUGACUUGGUAACGCAGCUAACGCGUGAAGUAGACCGCCUGGGGAGUACGGUCGCAAGAUUA
rnacentral:rRNA from 1 species